rnacentral:rRNA from 1 species
AACGAACGCUGGCGGCAGGCCGAGCACAGGCAAGUCGAACGAGACCUUCGGGUCUAGUGGCGCACGGGUGCGUAACGCGUGGGAACCUGCCCUUAGGUUCGGAAUAACUCCCCGAAAGGGGUGCGAAUACCGGAUAAUGUCUUCGGACCAAAGAUUUAUCGCCUGUGGAUGGGCCCGCGGUGGAUUAGCUAGUUGGUAGGGUAAAAGCCUACCAAGGCGACGAUCCAUAGCUGGUCUGAGAGGAUGAUCAGCCACACUGGGACUGAGACACGGCCCAGACUCCUACGGGAGGCAGCAGUGGGGAAUAUUGGACAAUGGGCGAAAGCCUGAUCCAGCAAUGCCGCGUGAGUGAUGCAGGCCUUAGGGUUGUAAAGCUCUUUUACCCGGGAUGAUAAUGACAGUACCGGGAGAAUAAGCUCCGGCUCCCUCCGUG